rnacentral:miRNA from 2 species
CUGUUGGCUUCUCUUUGUAA